GUUAGCUUAGUUGGUAAAGCGCUCGUAUAACAUACAAGAGUCGUGGGUUCAAAUCCCAGCCAC
rnacentral:tRNA from 1 species